rnacentral:rRNA from 1 species
CGAACGAAGUAGCAAUACUUAGUGGCAGACGGGUGAGUAACAUGUGGGUAUCUACCCUUUGGCCUGGAAUAACACGAGGAAACUUGUGCUAAUACCGGAUAAGUCUUUACGGAGAAAGCUUUAUGCACCAUUGGAUGAGCCCGCAAUUGAUUAGUUUGUUGGUGGGGUAAUGGCCUACCAAGACAGUGAUCAAUAGCUGAUUUGAGAGGAUGAUCAGCCACAUUGGGACUGAGACACGGCCCAAACUCCUACGGGAGGCAGCAGUGGGGAAUCUUGCACAAUGGAGGAAACUCUGAUGCAGCGAUGCCGCGUGAGUGAAGAAGGCCUUUGGGUUGUAAAGCUCUUUCGUCGGGGAAGAAAAUGACUGUACCCGAAUAAGAAGGUCCGGCUAACUUCGUGCCAGCAGCCGCGGUAAUACGAAGGGACCUAGCGUAGUUCGGAAUUACUGGGCUUAAAGAGUUCGUAGAUGGUUGAAAAAGUUGGUGGUGAAAUCCCAGAGCUUAACUCUGGAACUGCCAUCAAAACUUUUCAGCUAGAGUUUGAUAGAGGAAAGCAGAAUUUCUAGUGUAGAGGUGAAAUUCGUAGAUAUUAGAAAGAAUACCAAUUGCGAAGGCAGCUUUCUGGAUCAUUACUGACGCUGAGGAACGAAAGCAUGGGUAGCGAAGAGGAU